UACGAAGGGGGCUAGCGUUGCUCGGAAUUACUGGGCGUAAAGGGCGCGUAGGCGGUUCUAUAAGUCAGGCGUGAAAUUCCUGGGCUUAACCUGGGGGCUGCGCUUGAGACUGUGGGACUUGAGGUCAGAAGAGGGUCGUGGAAUUCCGGGUGUAGUGGUGAAAUGCGUAGAUAUCCGGAGGAACACCAGUGGCGAAAGCGGCCACCUGGACUGCACCUGACGCUGACACGCGAAAGCUAGGGGAGCGAACGGG
rnacentral:rRNA from 1 species